GAUGAACGCUGGCGGCGUGCCUAAUACAUGCAAGUCGAGCGAACGGACGAGAAGCUUGCUCCUCUGACGUUAGCGGCGGACGGGUGAGUAACACGUGGAUAACCUACCUAUAAGACUGGGAUAACUUCGGGAAACCGUAGCUAAUACCGGAUAAUAUUUUGAACCGCAUGGUUCAAUAGUGAAAGACGGUCUUGCUGUCACUUAUAGAUGGAUCCGCGCUGCAUUAGCUAGUUGGUAAGGUAACGGCUUACCAAGGCAACGAUGCAUAGCCGACCUGAGAGGGUGAUCGGCCACACUGGAACUGAGACACGGUCCAGACUCCUACGGGAGGCAGCAGUAGGGAAUCUUCCGCAAUGGGCGAAAGCCUGACGGAGCAACGCCGCGUGAGUGAUGAAGGUCUUCGGAUCGUAAAACUCUGUUAUUAGGGAAGAACAUAUGUGUAAGUAACUGUGCACGUCUUGACGGUGCCUAAUCAGAAAGCCACGGCUAACUACGUG
rnacentral:rRNA from 1 species